rnacentral:rRNA from 1 species
UACGUAGGUGGCGAACGUUGUCCGGAUUUACUGGGCGUAAAGCGCGCGCAGGCGGACUGAUAAGUCAGAGGUGAAAUCUCCCGGCUCAACUGGGAGGGGCCCUUUGAUACUGUCAGUCUUGAGAUGCCUAGAGGAGAGUGGAAUUCCCGGUGUAGUGGUGGAAUGCGUAGAUAUCGGGAGGAACACCUGUGGCGAAAGCGGCUCACUGGACCACAACUGACGCUGAGGCGCGAAAGCUAGGGGAGCAAACAGG